GGAGUACAGUAACAGACAAAAAAGAGAGAGGAGAAAGCAGCAUCAGUUCCACAAGGACAGCUUUAAUUUAGUUUUGCGUCUUAACCAAGUAGCAUGAUGGGCAUUGUUUCCUUAGAGGGAAAGGCACGUACAAACACAAGGAGAGGAAGGGAGGAGUAAGAAUGGGUCACACAAUUUGACAUGAGGAUGUUAUCAGUCUGGGUCAAAGGUUUGGCAAGCAUUAUUUCUGACUCACUAUAAAGCCUAGUGCAGACUCAAGAGAGAUAUGAUCGAUGCUGGAAUUCGAGCGAGCUAUAAUUAUCUGAGUUGUUGAGAAUUCUGAAGAGAUGAUCUCCCUUGCUUCAAAUCAACAGUUUGGAGCAGUUUUCAAAUUUCACAAGCAAGGAUAUUAAACUUUCAGCCACUCUACAUGUGAGAAAGGUGUGUAUAUAAAUUAGUCAUUUCUCUAAAAUUCCGACAGCUAUUUCUGCAAGCUACAACCUAGCCUGUGAACAGGAAAUGGCAAGAUGCAAGACUUCCCUUUAAAUAUGUAUGCUGACGGAGUACUUUCGAAUAAUGAAGUGAAGACAACAAUUUGAAAGAAACCCACUGCUUUUAUUACUAAGGAUGAUAAAAUAUUAUUGUAUCCAAA